UACGUAGGGUGCAAGCGUUAAUCGGAAUUACUGGGCGUAAAGCGUGCGCAGGCGGUCCGUUAAGACAGAUGUGAAAUCCCCGGGCUUAACCUGGGAACUGCAUUUGUGACUGGCGGACUCGAGUAUGGCAGAGGGGGGGUAGAAUUCCACGUGUAGCAGUGAAAAUGCGUAGAGAUGUGGAGGAAUACCGAUGGCGAAGGCAGCCCCCCUGGGCCCAAUACUGA
rnacentral:rRNA from 1 species